UACGUAGGUGACCAGCGUUGUCCGGAUUUACUGGGCGUAAAGAGCGCGCAGGCGGUCGUUCAAGUCGAGUGUGAAGGCCCCCGGCUCAACUGGGGAGGGUCAUUCGAUACUGAUCGACUGGAAGGCAGGAGAGGGAAGCGGAAUUCCCGGUGUAGGUGGUGAAAUGCGUAGAUAUCGGGAGGAACACCAGUGGCGAAGGCGGCUUCCUGGCCUGUUCUUGACGCUGAGGCGCGAAAGCUAGGGGAGCAAACGGG
rnacentral:rRNA from 1 species